AUACUUACCUGGCACAGGAGUGACUUUGAUCAAGAAGGAAUGUCCUCCCAAGGUGAGGCCUCGGCAUUGCACUUGGCUGAGGUUGACCCUUGCGAUUCCCCCAAAUGUGGGGAACUCGGGUGUAUAAUAUAUGGUAGCGGGAAACUGCGUUCGCGCUAACCCCUA
rnacentral:snRNA from 1 species